AACAGAUUUUAAGUAUUCUCACCACAAAAAUAAGUGUGUGGGAUGAUGUAUGUGUUAAUUAGCUCAAUUCAGCUAUUUCUCAUGAAGAACUGGAAUGUUCAUGAAUAUCAAAUAGAAUGGGAGUUAACUGAAUUAACUGAACCAACAGAAAACAGAAGUAAUUUUUUUACCUUUGUUUAAAAUGCUGCUGAUCCUUUGUUUUAUUUUUCAGAGUCAAGGACACUUUUCUUUUGAGCUAUAUACAGCUUUUAGUAAUUGAGUAAAGUAUACUCCUGUGAACAAAAUGUGGAGCAUAUUUGAUUCUCUCUACCUGUUUUCUCCAAAAUUGGAAACUGAAUCAAACUUGACUUGUAAAGCCAGUAAAAGCUCCAUGAAGAAUUGGCCUCAUACCUUGUCUGCAACAGUCCCUGUACAGGGUUUCUGACUUGGGCAGACCUAGAAACAUUGAAACACAAGGAACAAUGAGUGCUCCUAACAUCCAAAUUUUGUUUUCUAAAUACCAUUC
rnacentral:lncRNA from 1 species